rnacentral:rRNA from 1 species
AUUGAACGCUGGCGGCAGGCCUAACACAUGCAAGUCGAGCGAGCGGCGGACGGGUGAGUAAUGUAUGGGGACUGCCCGAUAGAGGGGGAUAACUACUGGAAACGGUAGCUAAUACCGCAUACUAUCGGAUAACCCAGAUGGGAUUCGAUAGUAGGUGAGGUAAUGGGUCACCUAGGCGACGAUCCCUAGCUGGUCUGAGAGGACGACCAGCCACACUGGGACUGAGACACGGCCCAGACUCCUACGGAGGCAGCAGGGGGGAAUGUUGGACAAUGGGGGAAAUCCUGAUCCAGCCAUCCCGCGUGUAUGAUGAAGGCCUUCGGGUUGUAAAGUACUUUUGGCAGGGAAGCGGUAUCUGCAGAAUAAGCACCGGCUAACUCCGUGCCAGCAGCCGCGGUAAUAC